UGAAGAGGCAUGGAAUGCAGCUAGUACCUUACAUGGCAAUCAAUACAGUAGGAAGCAUGCUUAUCUGCUGAAGUUAGGGAGCUGUGACUUCAAUGGGGGAGUGGGGUGAAGAAGCUAACAAUCCCCAAGGAAACAGAUGCCAGGGAGAAAGUACAUUCUAGACUCCAGGAAGAGUGAAGACAACGGUCCUAAGUUAAAGAGUGAUGCUCUGAGGAAUAACAAACCAGAAGCAAGGCUGAAGCAUCCACACUGAUGCAGGGGAGAAGAUGGAGUGAUGAGGCAGGGCCAGACCCCCCCAGGCUCGAAAACUCCCAUUGUUACUCCCUGUGAAGUCAGAAUCCAAAGAGGUUCUGGGCAGUAGAGUGACAGGAUCCCACAUGCAUCUUAGCAGAACACCUUAGCCAGCACAACGUACACACCCCAGGUACACACACCAGAUCAGCCAGCACAACGUACACACCCCAGGUACACACACCAGGUCAGCCAGCACAACGUACACACCCCAGGUACACACACCAGGUCAGCACAACGUAUACACCCCAGGUCAGCACAACGUACACACCCCAGGUACACACACCAGGUCAGCACAACGUACACACCCCAGGUACACACACCAGGUCAGCACAACGUACACACACCAGGUACACACACCAGGUCAGCACAACGUACACACCCCAGGUACACACACCAGGUCAGCACAACGUACACACACCAGGUCAGCACAACGUACACACACCAGGUACACACACCAGGUCAGCACAACGUACACACCCCAGGUACACACACCAGGUCAGCACAACGUACACACCCCAGGUACACACACCAGGUCAGCACAACGUACACAC
rnacentral:lncRNA from 1 species